CUCCUACCCACUUCGUCCGCAAAUAUUUAUCAUCAAAAUGGAUGAAAAGAGAUAUAUCUAGAUCUAAUAUAUGUCUAGACACAUCUCCUUUUAUUCAUUUUGAUGAUAAGUAUUUCCGGAUAAAGGGAGUACAUC
rfam:Triticum aestivum genome assembly, contig: Triticum_aestivum_CS42_TGACv1_scaffold_220772_3B